CGUGAGGAACCUGCCUUUCAGUGGGGGACAACAGUUGGAAACGACUGCUAAUACCGCAUGACACUUUUGGGAGACAUCUCCUGGAAGUCAAAGCUUUAUGUGCUGAAAGAUGGCCUCGCGUCUGAUUAGCUGGUUGGUGAGGUAACGGCUCACCAAGGCGACGAUCAGUAGCCGGUCUGAGAGGAUGAACGGCCACAUUGGGACUGAGAUACGGCCCAGACUCCUACGGGAGGCAGCAGUGGGGAAUAUUGGGCAAUGGGGGAAACCCUGACCCAGCAACGCCGCGUGAAGGAAGAAGGCCUUCGGGUUGUAAACUUCUUUUACCAGGGACGAAGGACGUGACGGUACCUGGAGAAAAAGCAACGGCUAACUACGUGCCAGCAGCCGCGGUAAUACGUAGGUUGCAAGCGUUGUCCGGAUUUACUGGGUGUAAAGGGCGUGUAGGCGGAGAUGCAAAGUUGGGAGUGAAAUCCAUGGGCUCAACCCAUGAACUGCUCUCAAAACUGUAUCCCUUGAGUAUCGGAAAGGCAAGCGGAA
rnacentral:rRNA from 1 species